rnacentral:lncRNA from 1 species
GGAGAGGAGGCUCAGGGGGACCGGGGCCAGUCCACUCAGGGCCUGAACAGAGCAACGUGGUACAGGAAGGGAGGGUGGCUGUCCCUGCCUGACUGCCGAGCUGGGACACGGACCUGCUCCUCCCUCCAGGGCUCCUGGUUCUCAGGGCUUCAGACCCACCCUAGAAUCUACACCACAGGCUCUCCUGGGUCUCCAGCUUGCAGACAACAGAUCCUGGGUCUUCCCAUCCUCCAUAAUCACGGAUCCUUCUGCAUCGGCGCUCCUGCUGUGCUGCUGUACCCCCUCCACUUGCUCCUCACACAGGAGGUGGCUCGGUUCUGCUGGGAGCCGGGCAGGUGACGUUGUGCCACGAGAAAGUGCUUUCCCCUGGGGGUCCAGCCAAGGGCCCGGGCGUCAGGGCACACCAGCAGGUGACCUCCUGGGGCCUAGCAAACGCCUCCUAGUUAGUGAGGGGGUUUGUUUUCUCCAGAGUCAGUGCACCAGGAUGAUCAGCUUUGCGAAGGAACAGAUCAGAUACGGUGUCGUAUCAAAUGGCCUCCAGGAGGGGGAGCAGCAACUCCUGCAGCCCUGAAACCCGUCCUCCAGCCAAGGGCACGAUGUUUCUCAGAGGUGUCCCAUACAACCACCUCCACCCCCACCACCCCCAUGAUCACCAUCACUGCCAACAGCACCGCCAACCACUGCUGCCUCCACAACCUCAGCCACCGCCGACAUCAUACCCUCUACAGCCUCCAUGUAGCCACUGCCUCCAACAUCAUCACCAAUACUACCAUCAUCACCUCCACCACCUUCUCAAAAAGAGAAAAAGAAGAACAAAUACAGCUAAUAUAUGGCCCUAAAUGUUAAGGGCUGAGAAGUGCUAUGGGAAAGACGAACAAGACAGAGCACGCAGGAGCCCUUAGGCAUAUGGGGUGAUGCCAAGUUGCCAUUGUAAACAGGCUAUUGGAGUGUGUCUAAUUAAGAUGGUAUUUGCCCAAAGACUGGAAGUAGGAAUAAAUUAGCCAAG